rnacentral:rRNA from 1 species
UACAGAGGUCUCAAGCGUUGUUCGGAUUCAUUGGGCGUAAAGGGUGCGUAGGCGGCGCGGUAAGUCGGGGUGUGAAAUCUCGGGAGCUUAACUCCGAAACUGCAUUCGAUACUGCCGUGCUUGAGGACUGGAGAGGAGACUGGAAUUUAGGUGAGCGGUGGAAUGCGCAGAUAAUCAGGAGGAACACCAAUGGCGAAGGCAGAUCUCUGGGCCGUAACUGACGCUGAGGAGCGAAGCAUGGGAGAACAGGAUAGAUACCGU